rnacentral:rRNA from 1 species
GAUGAACGCUGGCGGCGUGCCUAAUACAUGCAAGUCGAGCGAACAGACGAGGAGCUUGCUCCUCUGACGUUAGCGGCGGACGGGUGAGUAACACGCGGAUAACCUACCUAUAAGACUGGGAUAACUUCGGGAAACCGGAGCUAAUACCGGAUAACAUGUUGAACCGCAUGGUUCAACAGUGAAAGACGGUCUUGCUGUCACUUAUAGAUGGAUCCGCGCCGCAUUAGCUAGUUGGUAAGGUAACGGCUUACCAAGGCAACGAUGCGUAGCCGACCUGAGAGGGUGAUCGGCCACACUGGAACUGAGACACGGUCCAGACUCCUACGGGAGGCAGCAGUAGGGAAUCUUCCGCAAUGGGCGAAAGCCUGACGGAGCAACGCCGCGUGAGUGAAGAAGGUCUUCGGAUCGUAAAACUCUGUUAUUAGGGAAGAACAAAUGUGUAAGUAACUAUGCACGUCCUGACGGUACCUAAUCAGAAAGCCACGGCUAACUACGUG